rnacentral:lncRNA from 1 species
UUAAAAACGGUUGAAAUCUUUCCAUGAAAGGAGCAUAUGCUAUAUCCACCUGAAAUUAAUAGAAAACUUUGACAAGUUCAAUUUAAUUGUGAAAACGCACAAGAAGAGUAUACUAUGCAUUGCCAUUGCUACAAAUCAAUAUAAGUAUACUCACCAGACUGAAUUGGCCAAGGAAGAAAGGUCCGUGAUCAUAUUUGGAGAGAACAGUCUCAAGGUAAUCAAAUGCAGUGCCUAAUGAAGCAGUGUAAGGAGGGGGAACAUUGUAAACUGAGCAUAAGCUGAAAACUGUUUAUGACACUAAACCAAUAUAUGGAGGAGCUUAUAAUAAAAGAAUGAAGAAUAACCUUAGUGUUACGGGUAAUCCAUACACGCUGGGCAUAGGGGCAUUUGUAGGAGAUAUACAACCUUCAGUUCACCCACAGUCACAGACACAAAGAAUACAUAAAUAUAUCAUUUAAUUUGUGUUAGUUUGUUUGGUGAAAAAGAAGAUAAGAAAGUAAGAAACCUGGUAGUUCCAUCAAAUAAGGAAGGUGGAGGUGAAGUGGAAGUAAGGGGUGGUGGAAGAACUUGUUGCACACUUCAGUUCACAAUAUAAAAACAAGUUUAGUUAGAAAGAAGCAUAAUUAGUUAACUGAGCUCAGCUUAGCCUCAGCAGGCAAGCAGACAUACCCGGUUGAUAUGGCUAAUGUUGUCACGCGAACAUCGCAUGAUUUUGUAACAGAAUUAAACCGCUGCCGGAGGUGAAGCUUAUUAUGAGGUGAAUAAUGGAAAUGGAUGGAAGUUGUGGACAUGAAAGGAAGAGAAGAAGUAACCAAAAUCUGUGGCCUUGCUGAGACUGAGAACAAGCUGCUAUUAUUAUUGGUUACCAAUGAUGAUGAUGAUGAUGAUAUAGCCAUAAUUCCAAAAUGAUGACAAUGAAUAUUCAUCACUCUAUGUUGAUGCAGCUUAACUCUUCCUCACAUCCUAUUUUAUAACGAACGUGUGGCCAUGGCACUGUCUCUA